UACCAGCACCCCGAGUGGUCGGGACGAUUAUUGGGCCUAAAGCAUCCGUAGCCGGUCAUGCAAGUCUUCCGUUAAAUCCAGCCGCUCAACGGUUGGGCUGCGGAGGAUACUACGUGGCUAGGAGGCGGGAGAGGCAAGCGGUACUCAGUGGGUAGGGGUAAAAUCCUUUGAUCCAUUGAAGACCACCAGUGGCGAAGGCGGCUUGCCAGAACGCGCUCGACGGUGAGGGAUGAAGCUGGGGAGCA
rnacentral:rRNA from 1 species